GACGAACGCUGGCGGCGUGCUUAACACAUGCAAGUCGAACGGAAAGGCCCUGCUUUUGUGGGGUGCUCGAGUGGCGAACGGGUGAGUAACACGUGAGUAACCUGCCCUUGACUUUGGGAUAACUUCAGGAAACUGGGGCUAAUACCGGAUAGGAGCUCCUGCUGCAUGGUGGGGGUUGGAAAGUUUCGGCGGUUGGGGAUGGACUCGCGGCUUAUCAGCUUGUUGGUGGGGUAGUGGCUUACCAAGGCUUUGACGGGUAGCCGGCCUGAGAGGGUGACCGGCCACAUUGGGACUGAGAUACGGCCCAGACUCCUACGGGAGGCAGCAGUGGGGAAUAUUGCACAAUGGGCGGAAGCCUGAUGCAGCAACGCCGCGUGCGGGAUGACGGCCUUCGGGUUGUAAACCGCUUUCGCCUGUGCCGAAGCGUGAGUGACGGUAAUGGGUAAAGAAGCACCGGCUAACUACGUGC
rnacentral:rRNA from 1 species